UACGAAGGGGGCUAGCGUUGUUCGGAAUUACUGGGCGUAAAGGGCUCGUAGGCGGCCAACUAAGUCAGACGUGAAAUCCCUCAGCUUAACUGGGGAACUGCGUCUGAGACUGGUCGGCUCGAGGGCAGGAGAGGAACGUGGAAUUCCAGGUGUAGCGGUGAAAUGCGUAGAUAUCUGGAGGAACACCGGUGGCGAAGGCGGCGUUCUGGACUGCAUCUGACACUGAGGAACGAAAGCCAGGGGAGCAAACGGG
rnacentral:rRNA from 1 species